CCUACGGGCGGCAGCAGUGGGGAAUAUUGGACAAUGGGGGCAACCCUGAUCCAGCCAUGCCGCGUGUGUGAAGAAGGCCCUCGGGUUGUAAAGCACUUUCAGUGAGGAAGAACGCCUGGUGGUUAAUACCCAUCAGGAAAGACAUCACUCACAGAAGAAGCACCGGCUAACUCCGUGCCAGCAGCCGCGGUCAUACGGAGGGUGCGAGCGUUAAUCGGAAUUACUGGGCGUAAAGCGCGCGUAGGUGGCUUGAUAAGCCGGUUGUGAAAGCCCCGGGCUCAACCUGGGAACGGCAUCCGGAACUGUCAAGCUAGAGUGCAGGAGAGGAAGGUAGAAUUCCCGGUGUAGCGGUGAAAUGCGUAGAGAUCGGGAGGAAUACCAGUGGCGAAGGCGGCCUUCUGGACUGACACUGACACUGAGGUGCGAAAGCGUGGGUAGCAAACAGGAUUAGAUACCCUGGUAGUC
rnacentral:rRNA from 1 species